CAAAACAAAUAUUCAUAAUACCCUAGUACACAAACAAAUAUACCAAAUGCUAUAUAUCAAAUCAUCUUAAUCGUCAAACGUUGCCAUCAUACGAAUUCCAUCUAACAAAGACCAUUUUGCCGCAUUCAAAUCUUUGUCUAUUACAUAUCCCACAUGACCUAAAGCUAACGCCUCAAUUGUCAAUAACAUUCGCAAUCCAUUAUCGUCAUCUUUACAUUUAACCUGUGUGAACCUCGGCUCAACUAUCCUAUGCCAUUCCUUAUCUUCGAAUUUGUCAAAUCGUAAUGUCA
rnacentral:lncRNA from 1 species